AUUGAACGCUGGCGGCAUGCUUUACACAUGCAAGUCGAACGGUAACAGGCCGCAAGGUGCUGACGAGUGGCGAACGGGUGAGUAAUGCAUCGGAACGUGCCCCGUCGUGGGGGAUAACGCAGCGAAAGCUGUGCUCAUACCGCAUACGAUCUAUGGAUGAAAGCGGGGGACCGAGAGGCCUCGCGCGAUUCGAGCGGCCGAUGCCAGAUUAGGUAGUUGAUGGGGUAAAGGCGCACCAAGCCAACGAUCUGUAGCUGGUCUGAGAGGACGACCAGCAACACUGGGACUGAGACACGGCCCAGACUCCUACGGGGGGCAGCAGUGGGGAAUUUUGGACAAUGGGCGCAAGCCUGAUCCAGCAAUGCCGCGUGCAGGAAGAAGGCCUUCGGGUUGUAAACUGCUUUUGUACGGAACGAAAAGGUUUGGGUUAAUACCCUGGGCCGAUGACGGUACCGUAAGAAUAAGCACCGGCUAACUACGUGCAGCCGCCGCCGUAA
rnacentral:rRNA from 1 species